AAUGAACGUUGGCGGCGUGGAUUAGGCAUGCAAGUCGAGCGAGAACCCCGCAAGGGGGGACAGCGGCGAAAGGGACAGUAAUGUGUAGAUUAUCUGCCCUCAGGUCCGGGAUAGCUGCGGGAAACUGCAGGUAAUACCGGAUAACAUCUCCGGAUCAAAGGUGUGAUUCCGCCUGAGGAUGAGUCUGCAUCCUAUUAGCUAGUUGGUGGGGUAAUGGCCUACCAAGGCAUUGAUGGGUAGCAGGUGUGAGAGCACGACCUGCGUCAUUGGGACUGAGACACUGCCCAGACACCUACGGGUGGCUGCAGUCGAGAAUCUUCGGCAAUGGGCGCAAGCCUGACCGAGCGACGCCGCGUGUGGGAUGAAGGCCUUCGGAUUGUAAACCACUGUCAGAGGGGAUGAAGUGCAGGUGGGUUCUCCCAUCUGUUUGACAUAGCCUCAGAGGAAGCCCCGGCUAACUUCGUGCCAGCCGCCGCCGUAAGAC
rnacentral:rRNA from 1 species